CCUACGGGUGGCUGCAGUGGGGAAUAUUGCACAAUGGGGGAAACCCUGAUGCAGCGACGCCGCGUGAGUGAAGAAGUAUUUCGGUAUGUAAAGCUCUAUCAGCAGGGAAGAAGCAAGACGGUACCUGACUAAGAAGCCCCGGCUAACUACGUGCCAGCAGCCGCGGUAAUACGUAGGGGGCAAGCGUUAUCCGGAUUUACUGGGUGUAAAGGGAGCGUAGACGGUAUGGCAAGUCUGAAGUGAAAGCCCAGGGCUUAACCCUGGGACUGCUUUGGAAACUGUUAGACUAGAGUGCUGGAGAGGAAAGCGGAAUUCCUAGUGUAGCGGUGAAAUGCGUAGAUAGUAGGAAGAACACCAGUGGCGAAGGCGGCUUUCUGGACUGAAACUGACGCUGAGGCACGAAAGCGUGGGGAGCGAACAGGAUUAGAUACCCCAGUAGUC
rnacentral:rRNA from 1 species